rnacentral:rRNA from 1 species
GACGAACGCUGGCGGCGUGCUUAACACAUGCAAGUCGAACGGAAAGGCCCUGCUUUUGUGGGGUGCUCGAGUGGCGAACGGGUGAGUAACACGUGAGUAACCUGCCCUUGACUUUGGGAUAACUUCAGGAAACUGGGGCUAAUACCGGAUAGGAGCUCCUGCUGCAUGGUGGGGGUUGGAAAGUUUCGGCGGUUGGGGAUGGACUCGCGGCUUAUCAGCUUGUUGGUGGGGUAGUGGCUUACCAAGGCUUUGACGGGUAGCCGGCCUGAGAGGGUGACCGGCCACAUUGGGACUGAGAUACGGCCCAGACUCCUACGGGAGGCAGCAGUGGGGAAUAUUGCGCAAUGGGCGGAAGCCUGAUGCAGCAACGCCGCGUGCGGGGUGACGGCCUUCGGGUUGUAAACCGCUUUCGCCUGUGACGAAGCGUGAGUGACGGUAAUGGGUAAAGAAGCACCGGCUAACUACGUG